CAAUUUAAAAGUUCAGACCACAUGGGGGCAGUGCUUCACUGACAGAAGUGACUGGCUGGAAACUAGAACUAUGUGAAUGGAAGCAGCAGGAGUGAGUAUAUUCAAUGAUGCAUUUUGCGACAAGUGAGAUUUUGAUUGGUUGUGAAAACACAGUGAAGAUCACUGGGGCUUCCAAACCAAAAGAAGCAGAAAAAUCUAGAACAACGAACUAGAACAAUUGAACAUGGUCCGUUUCAGGCCUCCAAACUGAAUCCUCGGAGACUCCAGGAAGAAGCAGGAAUGGAGCCUCACCUGCAAGCUUCACUGAUGCUCCUGUGUGUGCAGCUAAGCUGGUCAAAUGGACAACCACUGGUGGAAAAGAAAGUCAAGGAAGGCGAGAGCUUCACACUGAACUGCAGUUACACAGACAGAGCUGCUGAUUUCUUCCAGUGGUUUACGCAGGAUCCCAGGGAAGGCCUCCACUCCCUGAUACAAUUGUUUUCAAGUGAGAAAGAGAAGAUCAGUGGAAGAUUCACAGCCAGGCUUAACAAAAAUGACCAGCAAUUUUCCCUGCACGUGAAGGAUUCCCAGCUCAACGACACAACCACCUUCUUAUGUGCAACGAGUGCACAGUGCUGCUCAGACACCUGCGUCCCGCACCUAAACCCUGCUAAGCCUGCACCUCCUGCCUGAAGGGCUCCAGGGCGCUGACUUUGCACUCUGAGCAAAGGG